rnacentral:rRNA from 1 species
UACGUAGGGGGCGAGCGUUGUCCGGAUUUAUUGGGCGUAAAGAGCGUGUAGGCGGUUCGGUAAGUCUGUCGUGAAAUCCUGAGGCUCAACCUCGGGCGUGCGAUGGAUACUGCCGGGCUAGAGGAUGGUAGAGGCGAGUGGAAUUCCCGGUGUAGCGGUGAAAUGCGCAGAUAUCGGGAGGAACACCAGUGGCGAAGGCGGCUUCCUGGCCUGUUCUUGACGCUGAGGCGCGAAAGCUAGGGGAGCAAACGGG